ACUCCAGAGCCAGUGGUGAAUUUUAUUCUAGCUCUAUAAUCAAACAAUAAAAGAAGACAAAGUGGAGAAUAAAAGAGAAAAACAAAAAUAUUCCAAUUUAAAUAUUGCUUGUGAGCAAAUGUAUGUUGCAAAAAGAAAGUGAAGAAACUGAUAAAUGCAAGCAUAUUUAGGUGAGUUGUAAACAUUAGAGGCGAGAAAUCACAUGCAAUUCCUUCAGUAACAAACGCCACUCUUACACCAAUUCACAGAGUGCAUGUACUGAACAUUCCACGCUUGUGAGAUAUAGAGAGGAUUGAUACCUGCAGCUUUGUUCCUACUUUGAAAGUGAUUGCUUCUUUGGCUAUCCUCCAUGUACUUUAUCAUUACAGUAAAGCCACCCUUUUCAAUGGAGAAAUAAAAUGAAAAAGGGAAGCGUGGAUUGCUCUGAGGUAAAUAACCAGGAAUAAAAGGAGAAAUUGCUUUCUCAUGAAAAACAGACUUUAUAAGAAGCUCAGAAAGUGAAGGAUAUUUUGGGCUACACUCAGUAAUACAAUAGGUCCACCAGUUAGAAAGAAUGGGUGUGAAUUGUCUUCAAUCUGAAUCCUUUUGCCUGGAAUCAUUGGAAUCCGAGAUUAAUUGUUCAUGUGUCCUUGUCAAACCCUGCAUGGAAGCUCAAGAUCUCACAUCCUAUGAUGCUCUCUUUUGGAUAGAUGGAAGAGUGAAGAAAGCUAUUAUUGCUGGUGGUAGCUCAUGGGGCGAGAUCCAUUUGGAAGUUGCGAAUGAGAUCGUCUAAGAGCAUUCCACCAACACUUCUUUUUCAUCGAGUUUUGAUCUAGGUAUCUUGGUUGCUUAGUUUCCCUUGCAUGCAUCUGUAUUUAUAAGGUUCAUGGAUAACUUUUAGUUUCAGCUCUAGUUUUGAUGACUUGUUUGGAGAUUCUCAUCAAGAUGUUACUCCUUUAUGAUUAUCGACGAAGAAAUCCUUUGUUGUUUUUGGUGGCA